AGUGAACGCUGGCGGUAGGCCUAACACAUGCAAGUCGAACGGCAGCACAGUAAGAGCUUGCUCUUACGGGUGGCGAGUGGCGGACGGGUGAGGAAUACAUCGGAAUCUACUUUUUCGUGGGGGAUAACGUAGGGAAACUUACGCUAAUACCGCAUACGACCUACGGGUGAAAGCAGGGGAUCUUCGGACCUUGCGCGAUUGAAUGAGCCGAUGUCGGAUUAGCUAGUUGGCGGGGAAAAGGCCCACCAAGGCGACGAUCCGUAGCUGGUCUGAGAGGAUGAUCAGCCACACUGGAACUGAGACACGGUCCAGACUCCUACGGGAGGCAGCAGUGGGGAAUAUUGGACAAUGGGCGCAAGCCUGAUCCAGCCAUACCGCGUAGGUGAAGAAGGCCUUCGGGUUGUAAAGCCCUUUUGUUGGGAAAGAAAAGCAGCAGGUUAAUACCCCGCUGUUCUGACGGUACCCAAAGAAUAAGCACCGGCUAACUUCGUG
rnacentral:rRNA from 1 species